AAAUAGGUAAGCUAAUUUAAGCUAUUGGGUUCAUACCCCACCUAUAAAGGUUUAUUCCUUUCCUAUUUA
rnacentral:tRNA from 1 species